rnacentral:misc_RNA from 1 species
UGGUUCUGGCAUCGAUGAAGGACGCAGCGAAAUGCGAUAAGUAAUGCGAAUUGCAGAAUUCAGUGAGUCAUCGAAUCUUUGAACGCACAUUGCGCCCUUUGGCAUUCCGAAGGGCAUGCCUGUCCGAGCGUCAUUAUCAACCCUCAAGCCUGGCUUGGUGUUGGACCGUUCGUCGUUUACCCGACGGGUCUCAAAGACAGUGACGGAGUCGUGUUGGACCCCCGAUGCAACGAGCUCUCGUAGCACGCAUGGCGGGGCCGGGCGUUCUUGGUCUCAACCAUUUAUUUUACAAGGUUGACCUCGGAUCAGGUAGGAAUACCCGCUGA